rfam:Papio anubis isolate 1X1155 chromosome 7, whole genome shotgun sequence.
CCAAAGGCUCUUUUCAGAGCCAACAUCAUUCCUCAUAGGCAGAG